rnacentral:rRNA from 1 species
GACGAAGGUGGCGACCGUUGUUCGGAAUCACUGGGCAUAAAGAGCACGUAGGCGGGCUGCGUAAGUCGGGUGUGAAAUCCCUCGGCCUAACCGAGGAAUUGCGCCCGAAACUGCGUGUCUUGAGGGCAGGAGGGGAGCGUGGAAUUCCUGGUGGAGCGGUGAAAUGCGUUGAUAUCAGGAGGAACACCGGCGGCGAAGGCGACGCUCUGGCCUGCUUCUGACGCUGAGGUGCGAAAGCCAGGGGAGCAAA